ncrna:unclassified sequences Flavobacterium-1 RNA
ACUCAAAGUAGGCGUACAAAUCUUGCCCAAGGCAUUUCCCUGGACGUAAGCGAUGAUCCGAAAGGUAGCGACCAAAUGAGUAUGGAACAGGGCCAACUUCUGCCUGCAGCAGAGGCUCUGAACCA